rfam:Hordeum vulgare subsp. vulgare, WGS project CAJW01000000 data, contig: morex_contig_1581863
UUGGUACUUCCUUCGUCCGAAAAUACUUGUCAUACAAAUAGGUGUAUCAAGAUAUAUUUUAAUUCUAGAUACAUUCAUUUGUAUUUAUUUUUGUGACAAGUAAUUCUGGAUGAAGGGAGUAUAUA